GCGCCGGUGGUGUAAGGCGAACAUCGCUGCCCGGAAUGCAGACGAUGCGGGUUCGAGUCCCGCCAAGAGUU
rnacentral:tRNA from 1 species